rnacentral:rRNA from 1 species
UACGUAGGGUGCAGGCGUUAAUCGGAAUUACUGGGCGUAAAGCGUGCGCAGGCGGUUUGCUAAGACAGGUGUGAAAUCCCCGGGCUUAACCUGGGAACUGCGCUUGUUACUGGCAGGCUUGAGUGUGGCAGAGGGGGGUGGAAUUCCACGUGUAGCAGUGAAAUGCGUAGAGAUGUGGAGGAACACCAACGGCGAAAGCACUCUGCUGGGCCGACACUGACACUGAGAGACGAAAGCUAGGGGAGCGAAUGGG